CGAGGAGGGAGGGUUCAAGAGACGCCUUUGGUCUCUACUAUACCAACGCGGGCUGCCAUUUUCUUUGACCCGCCUUCGCUUCACGUUUUCCCUUUCCUCUUCUUCCUCCAACCUAGGUUGCGUUUGAAAACUUUGCGAGUCGCCCCCAAUGGCGGUCGCUCCAAUCCCUUUAGCAACCGUCCUGGAUAAACCAAUCAGCAUCCACAUUAUUGGGAAAAAAAACAAUCCCGAGGUAGCCAAUGGGAAGGGAACUUGGAGAGUAGCCUGAAGCCGCGGACCCUUCCAUCUUGGAACCGGGCGAAGCCUGCGGAGGACUUAGUCAGCAUUUUGCCAGUUGUUCUCCACCAUGCAUUUCCCUGCGGGCAGUGCCGCAGUGAUCUGAGGACUUUGCGUCUUUGAUCCAAACGGCGCCCUGAGUUCCCCGGGAGAAACUUGGAGCGAAACAGAGCUAGAUUCCCGGUCCGAGUCAGGCGCGGAGCCCGGGAGUGCGGGCCCCUCAGCCUGAGCCCCGGGCCGGUGGAUGAGUGGGCAACAGCAGCAGCAGCAGCCUUUUGUCCUUGCGGGACAUCGAGCGGGAUGCCCUCAGGGAAAGGCCUUAACUACCGAGUGCCUGAAGACCCUAGAACCGCCCCGUUAUCCUCCACGCAGCACCUACGGUCGGGACAGCUUGGCCACAACCCCAAGGGGUAGGAAUUACCCGUUUACAGAAGCGGAAACUGAGCCCCAGGUUAAGGUGCUUAUAAAAGACCACGCAGCCGAAAAGAAUGGCCCCAGGACGCGGAUCCUUGUUGUUAAAGUCAAAGCCUGGGAGAUCCCCCUGUACAGGACCCCCUCUGCCAGCGCAGGAAGCUGAGUCCACCCGCCAUCACGUGGUACUUUUGGGAAGCUGAUCCGGAGGGGAGUUUGGGGAUUUUUAAGAGAGGGCUGGAUUAGGAGAAUAACAGCGAAUGAAAGUGUACCGCCUGCACUCCCCUGCUUUACUUUGUACCGGACAUUGCACCCAGCCCCUUUUAUUUUCUGAGACAGGGUUUCGCUAAGUUGCUGAGGGUCUAUGUAAAUUGCUGAGGCUGACCUAGAAAUUACGAUCCUCCUGCUUCAAGCCUCUGGGGUCGCUGGGAUUGCAGGUGUGCACCAGCACCACUUCCCGCUUUUUAAUACCAAAAAAAAUAAUAAUAAUAAUAACUUUUUUUUUUUGGUACCGGGGAUUAAACCCAGGGUAACCACGGAACCACAUCCCAGCCCUUUUUUAAUAUUUUAUUUAGAGAUGGGGUCUCCCUGAGUUGCUUAGAGCCUCCCUAAGUUGCUGAGGCAGACUUUGAACUCAGGAUCCUCCUGCCUCGGCGUCCCCAGCCGCUGGGAUUACCGGCAUGUGCCACUGUGCCCGGCAAACUUAAUAGUAACUUUGAAAAAUCAUUUUUCAUAGAGAAAACUGGAAAAUAUAGCACAUGAUACUCACCAUGUACAUUGCGACACUUGUUAACAUCUUGCCAUAUUUGCUUUGUGUAUUUUUUCCUGGACCCGUUGGAAAUUGUAAAUAUUGUGACAUUUCAAUCCUGACACUUAGAAUACUGAGCCACCAUGUGGGUCUUUAAAAUCGGGCUGUUAUUUUAACCUAACCAUUGUUAUCACCACCCCUAAGAAAAUUAAUUCUCUGACAGCCAGUCCAUACUUGAUGCCCUCAGUUAUCCCUCAAAUAUAUUUAAAACCUUUUUUCUUUUCUGUCGGAACCAGGCUGGGUGUGUAGCUCUUUCCUAGAGCCCCCAUCUAGCAGAACUGUCUACAGCACUGAAAAAAAAAAAAAAAAAAAAAAAAUCUUAACCAGGAACCAAUCAAGAUUCAUUACACUUGGCUCUUUUUAAAUUCAUCCUGUUUCCAUCCCCCAAUCUUUAAUUUGUUUUAAUGACAUUAAUCUCUUGAAAUUAAGCCCUUUCCUGAUAUGUGACCCCAUGUAUUGGAUUUGUUGUCUGUUUCCUUCAACUGCCACUUACAUUGUCCCUCCUCCCCAAAUUUCUUGUGAACUGGAAGUUAGUUCUAAACUAACAGAUUCAUGCCAAGCAUUUAAAGACAUUUUUUUUUUACAGUACACAUACCCCAAAGCACGUGUUAUAAGGUCAGU
rnacentral:lncRNA from 1 species